rnacentral:tRNA from 1 species
ACCGCUGUAGCUCAGCGGAUAGAGCAACCUUUUGACUGAAGGGAUGGUCGUGGGUUCGAUCCCCGCCAGCGGUG